AGAGCUUGCUUUAAAGAAGUUAGCGGCGGACGGGUGAGUAACACGUGGGCAACCUGCCUGUAAGACUGGGAUAACUUCGGGAAACCGGAGCUAAUACCGGAUAAUAUAUAGUACCUCCUGGUACUAUAUUGAAAGUUGGUUUCGGCUAACACUUACAGAUGGGCCCGCGGCGCAUUAGCUAGUUGGUGAGGUAACGGCUCACCAAGGCAACGAUGCGUAGCCGACCUGAGAGGGUGAUCGGCCACACUGGGACUGANACACGGCCCANNCUCCUACGGGAGGCAGCAGUANGGAAUCUUCCACAAUGGACGAAAGUCUGAUGGAGCAACGCCGCGUGAGCGAUGAANGCCUUCNGGUCGUAAAGCUCUGUUGUUAGGGAAGAACAAGUGCGAGAGUAACUGCUCGCACCUUGACGGUACCUAACCAGAAAGCCACGGCUAACUACGUGNCAGCAGCCGCGGUAAUACGUANGUGGCAAGCGUUGUCCGGAAUUAUUGGGCGUAAAGCGCGCGCNNNNGUUUCUUAAGUCUGAUGUGAAAGCCCACGGCUCNACCGUGGAGGGUCAUUGGNAACUGGGANAC
rnacentral:rRNA from 1 species